CAGGCCUAACACAUGCAAGUCGAACGAGGUUUGGUCAGUUUGCGGUGGUGCUUGCAUCACCAAUUACCGAUCAAACCGAGUGGCGGACCGGUGAGUAACACGUGGGUAACCUGCCCUUCAGCAGGGGAUAACAUUUGGAAACAGAUGCUAAUACCGUAUAACCACGGAGACCGCAUGGUCUCCGGGUAAAAGAUGGCGCAAGCUAUCACUGAAGGAUGGACCCGCGGCGUAUUAGCCAGUUGGUGGGGUAACGGCCUACCAAAGCGAUGAUACGUAGCCGACCUGAGAGGGUAAUCGGCCACAUUGGGACUGAGACACGGCCCAAACUCCUACGGGAGGCAGCAGUAGGGAAUCUUCCACAAUGGACGCAAGUCUGAUGGAGCAACGCCGCGUGAGUGGAGAAGGCUUUCGGGUCGUAAAACUCUGUUAUUGAAGAAGAACGUGUGUGACAGUAACUGGUCAUGCAGUGACGGUAUUCAAUCAGAAAGUCACGGCUAACUACGUGCCAGCAGCCGCGGUAAU
rnacentral:rRNA from 1 species